UGAGGAAUAUUGGUCAAUGGGGGCAACCCUGAACCAGCCAAGUCGCGUGAAGGAUGAAGGUCUUAUGGAUUGUAAACUUCUUUUACACGGGAAUAAAGUGGGGGACGUGUCCCCCUUUGCAUGUACCGUGUGAAUAAGGAUCGGCUAACUCCGUGCCAGCAGCCGCGGUAAUACGGAGGAUCCGAGCGUUAUCCGGAUUUAUUGGGUUUAAAGGGUGCGCAGGCGGGAUGUUAAGUCGGCGGUGAAAUUUUGCAGCUCAACUGUAAAAGUGCCUUCGAUACUGGCCUCCUUGAGUGUGGAUGAAGUAGGCGGAAUUUGUGGUGUAGCGGUGAAAUGCUUAGGUAUCACGAGGAACUCCGAUUGCGCAGGCAGCUUACUAAGCCACAACUGACGCUCAUG
rnacentral:rRNA from 1 species